rnacentral:lncRNA from 1 species
AAUGGCACAAGUUACCCUUCAUAGAGCAUUAUUCUGAAUUCAACUCGGCGCCAUCGAAAAGUUUCAUACCCUGUGUUUGUUGAUUUCUGGACCUUCACUGUCUUCUGGUUAAAUAAACCUUUGUGGCAUGAGUAGUAGUGGUUUGAAUGUGUUUAAAUGAAGAGCCUUAAUAGUUUAUGAAUGUUAUUCUUUCAUUCAUAGUGAGAAAGAAGCUCCUGUAUCUCAUGGGGAUGAUGACAACCACUCCCCUCUGUCAACUCCUCUCUUUCGCCAUUUGAUUUCACAAGAAGAAUCGGGUCAGUGCCCUGAAUGGCUGUCUGGUUUCUGUAGGACCUGCUGGAAGUGGCUCAGAAGAGCACAGUCAUGCUAAGCCAGCUGUCCUGCAGGGAGAGCUGUGCCACUGGGAGGCAUGACCUCACUGAGGGCUGCUGCGAGACAUGGAUCUGCAUCCUAUUUUGCUUCUUUGGCAAGGUCAUGUUCCAGUGUGAGACAGAGCCAGCCUUGGCAGAAUUGCCAACAUCCAAAGGCCAGUGGCUCAACUGGUGUAAAUCAGCACUCAGUCUCUCUGCUUGUGCCCACUAGAAACCACAGAUCUGGGCUGUUGUGGACCUCCUUCUUUUCUGAAAUGGUCCCGAAUUUUAAGGCUGGAAUUUUGCUCAGUGGAAUAGAUGAUAGAGCAUUCUUUUAA